CUCAAAAGUUCAAGAUAUAUCUACUUUUAAUAAAGAUGUCAUUGAAGAGGCUGCUAGAUGUAUUUUGAUAUCAGUUGAUCAGCAAGAAAGUGUUCAAAUUAGUAGAGCAAUUGAUUCGUCUCUGUCAGUUAUUCUUAAAUGUCAUAUUGGUACUGGAGGUUUGGAAUUUGUGCAAACUUAGGUACAGCCAAAUGAUAUUAUCUGUUCAGAUCCAUAAAUUGACUCUGAUUGAUGUUCAGUGGUGUGUGUGAGCAGUGUUUUGUUAGAUAUCCAGCCUCUAAAUAACUCUUCAAAUGAUGCUUUAAAUGAAGACCGGUUUGCCCCAAAGUAAACCAUCUGUUUCAGGAUUCAGAAAAGACUCAUUCAAUUCCCAAUGCAAAGCAAAUUCCCUUCUCUUAUUGAGCUUAGCGGUCUUCAAAUGUGCGAAAUUCAUUUGCUUAUCUCUCAAAGGAAUUGAUAAUUAUUGUUUGCAGUGAAAUUUCUUGUGAUUCAAUGAAGAUUUUAUCUUGGAAUGCUAGAGGUUUGGGGGAUGCCUAAAAAAGAACUAGUUUGAAGAAAUUUAAGCAUAAUGUUUGCUCGGAUGUUGUCCUCAUACAUGAAACAAAGACGGGGUCUUUCAACCAAAGUUUCAUUAAGUCAAUGUGGAGCUCUAAUGAGGUCAACUGAGUGCAUAUUGAAUCUUUUGGUAGAUCUGGAGGUAUGCUUAUUAUGUGGGAUGAAAGCUAGGGAAGGUCUUGGAAGUUCUUAAAGGAGGAUACACACUGUCACUCGGAAUAUCUUUUCAAAAUGAGAAGAGGUGUUGGAUCUCAAAUGUGUGGACCUAAUGAUUAUCGGGAAAGGAAGCAUUUGUAGCGUGAAUGGAGUUCUUUUUAUACAUAUUGUGACAUUCCUUGGUGUAGGGUGCGGACUUAAAUAUUACAUGUUGGAUCCAUGAGAGUGUACCAGGUGGAAGAUAAACUAAAGGAGUCUAAGGAACUGUAGUUUGCAAGGACCAAUUCCUAAUCUGAGCAGGAUAAAGAACCUGGGUUAUCUGGAUCUAAGUAACAAUCAACUAAGUGGAUUCAUACCACGAGACAAGUUUUCUGAGAAUAUUACUACCAUCAUUUUAUCAGACAAUCGUCUUACUGGCACCAUACCAUCCAGUCUUUCGGAUCUACCACUUCUUCAGAAAUUGUGAGUGAAUUUUUUUCACCAAUUCUUUGUUGUUGGGUGGUGGUGCUGGAUUUAGCUUGAUAGCGUAUAUCAUGUUUGUACAUUUCCGAGAAGACAAACCUAAUGUUAUAGGGAACCUAAUUAUAGAGAGAAUGACAGAAAAAUGUUACAAAAGUCAAACAUAAAUGACAACUUUUACAUAUGGAAUUAGACCUGCAUAAUGAUGUAUGGUUGUCAUUUUUUUGGUAUGAGUUGGUUUUUUUUUAAAUAAACAUGAAACUUUUCAUUAAUAUAAUGAAAAAGAUUAAUUCUCAAAGGAUACGACAUUCAUAAGGGAGGGUAGACAACAAUUAAAGAACAGUAUAGAAAAACUACAAUGGAAAGAUAAAAGUAUUCCAAUUAAGGCAUAAAUCCUGAAUAGAGCAUGCAGCAAAAAUUGAGAAAGUGAGCGAAGCUUUGAGAUGAGCCAAGUCAUAACAACGAUCUAACCAAGAAAGUUGCUUGUUAUGAAAAUGGCUAGACAAUUAGGUUAGCUUACCCUGCAACGACCCAGUUUGAAUGACCAGCAACAAAAGUAUGAGACAGAAACCAGUACAGGGAAGAGAGGCAGGAACAACUUGCUCCUUCAGCAAGAUUACCUCAGGAACAAAGAAGGCUCCAUUUCGACACUGGCAGGAAUUUUAUCCCUUACCAACACCAGCAUCAAAAACCAGCUUUUGGAUGACAUACAAUCCAAGAACCUGUCUCUUCAAGUGAGGGAGAAUACUACCCCCAACAUUAAGGAAAUUUUCAACCUUGAGAUGCAGAAUUCCAACAAAACUGACGACAGGGUGAAAAAUUUCAUCAACACCACCAACAAGAAAACCAAGACUAUCGGAUGGAGAUCGACCUCUCUAGUUAUAAUGGAAAAUGGAUAUUGAAGGCAUUCUUGAUUAGAUAAAUUUUUUUAGAACAUAUUCGAUUAUGAAUACU